rnacentral:tRNA from 1 species
UCCCUGGUGGUCUAGUGGUUAUGACUUUUUACUGCUGUGGCCCAGGUUCAAACCCUGGUCAGAGAA